rnacentral:misc_RNA from 1 species
GAUGAAGAACGCAGCGAAAUGCGAUAAGUAAUGUGAAUUGCAGAAUUCAGUGAAUCAUCGAAUCUUUGAACGCACCUUGCGCUCCUUGGUAUUCCGAGGAGCAUGCCUGUUUGAGUGUCAUUAAUAUAUCAACCUCUUCAGCUUAUGCUUGUUGGGUGUUGGAUGGUGGGGGUUUGCUGGUGUCUUAUGAAGUCAGCUCCUCUGAAAUGCAUUAGCGGAACAAUUUGUUGACCGUUCAUUGGUGUGAUAAAAAUAUCUACGCUAUUGACGUCAGUCAGUUCAGCUUCUAACAGUCCAUUGACUUGGACAAAUUUUUCAUUAAUGUGACCUCAAAUCAGGUAGGACUACCCGCUGAACUUAAGCAUAUCAAUAAGCGGAGGA